GACGAACGCUGGCGGCGUGCCUAAUACAUGCAAGUUGAGCGCUGAAGGUUGGUACUUGUACCAACUGGAUGAGCAGCGAACGGGUGAGUAACGCGUGGGGAAUCUGCCUUUGAGCGGGGGACAACAUUUGGAAACGAAUGCUAAUACCGCAUAAAAACUUUAAACACAAGUUUUAAGUUUGAAAGAUGCAAUUGCAUCACUCAAAGAUGAUCCCGCGUUGUAUUAGCUAGUAGGUGAGGUAAAGGCUCACCAAGGCGAUGAUACAUAGCCGACCUGAGAGGGUGAUCGGCCACAUUGGGACUGAGACACGGCCCAAACUCCUACGGGAGGCAGCAGUAGGGAAUCUUCGGCAAUAGACGAAAGUCUGACCGAGCAACGCCGCGUGAGUGAAGAAGGUUUUCGGAUCGUAAAACUCUGUUGGUAGAGAAGAACGUUGGUGAGAGUGGAAAGCUCAUCAAGUGACGGUAACUACCCAGAAAGGGACGGCUAACUACGUG
rnacentral:rRNA from 1 species